CGGGUGCCCUGCGAGUCAGACGAGUCCAGCAGCUUCAUGUGGAAUCCCCCAGAAAAACCCUCCGAGGAGUCAGCUGGCCACAGGUGCGCCAGCCCAGAAGAAGGGUCGGGCUGUGGUGACAGGGCCAGGCAGGGGAAGCCUGCCCAGGGACUGCAGGAGAGAAGGCUGGCGAGCGCCAGAGGCGAUGGCGCCCUGCAGACAGCAGCUGCUGCACAGGGCCCCUGUGUGCAGGGAGACACAGCCCCGGACUCCUUGUGUGCUCCACAAGCUUCAGCCAGAGAGACAUCUUGGAAAAUACAGAUAAAUGAUCAAAAAAAGAAGCUCAUGGAAAAUAUUUUGCUGUAUGAAGAGGACAAGUUAAACAGUUCUGAACUUUUUGAAUCAUAAAUUGGAUGGAUUAAUUAGCAGUGGCCAGCUCAGAAGAAGCUCAGAAUGUGUCCUCAUUAGAAGGACGGUAAAAGUGCACCUUUCACGUAAGAUUAGGUAGCAGGUUUCGCUCAGCAACACUGGCCCUGACUGAAGGAAACAAGAAGUACCACAUAGAGAAGCACCAGAAAAUAACUGUUCUAUAGCAGAUUAAAGCACAGUCCCACUUUCCAUCUGCAAUGUGAAAAGGAAUGGCAAACGCAAGUGCCAUAAUAAUUUGUGAUUGAUUUGCAGUUGUUUCAGGAAGCGUCUGUCGGUGUCCUUAAGCCGCAGUCCCAGGAGCUGCAGAGCAACGCUGAGCAGUGGCAGGCAGCCGUGCCCUGAGCUCUUUGCCCAGACAGGAAUCCUCAGAGCUGGCAGCUUUGCCAGUGGCAAACCUCUCUCUGUUCCGUACAGUCUUAGUCCACACACCCAGAACCACUGCAUGACCUGAGAGGGGUUUCUGUGCAAGUUCUCAGAAUGUUGUACAGCUUCACCUCAGUGUGAACUGCACUGACCACACGUGUAGGUAAUUAACUUCAGCCACUUUCCUCCACUCUCUGAGCUGAGCUUCCCUCCACAUACACGUGACACCACUGAAGUCCAACCUUUCGGUUCCCUGUUGGGAGCUCUGAGACCAUGUUUAAUACUUCAUAGGAGUAUUUUUGGGAAUUAUUUUUUUCUAAGUGUCCUUUACAUGGAAAUGUUUCUCAUUGUGUUUCACAUGGUAACUGUUGUAUAUUUUAGAUUAGGGAAAAGAUUUUAAUUUAAAAUAGCUUUGAUUUUUAUAGGGCACUUGAAACAUAAUUUGUUGUAUUUAUUUUGGCAAUGGGUCAAAUAUAAGCUAAUAAGAGGACUUGUUGAUGGUUCCACACUCACCAGGCAUUCUCAGAGGAAUCCUUGUGGGUGUCCCUUAGUUGGAGCCUCACUCUCAGGCCCAGGGAUCACAUGCAAAAGAAAAAAUAGAGACUUGUAUGCUGGUGUAUUUAUGAUCAAGUGAAAGCCCCCUUAAGAAAGCAUCACUUUUGUUUUUAUGAUAUUUAUUAUUUUUAUUAUUGCUAGCAUAUUCCACUUGUGUGCAGUCUAGGGAAAAACAAGUUUAUGAGGGACCAAAAGAAGCUCUGUCUACAGACAGGUGAGCUGCCUCCUGAGCAUGGGGAACAGGGCCUGAUGUGCAGAAAGGGCUGCAAGUCACAGUGCAGUUUAGGGAACAAAAAUAAAAUUAAUUCUAUGUAAUUAUUUUCA
ensembl:lncRNA